UACGAAGGUGGCAAGCGUUGUUCGGAAUUACUGGGCGUAAAGGGCGCGUAGGCGGCUUAUCAAGUCAGGCGUGAAAUUCCCGGGCUCAACCUGGGGGCUGCGCUUGAUACUGCUGAGCUUGAAUGCGGGAGAGGAUGGUGGAAUUCCCAGUGUAGAGGUGAAAUUCGUAGAUAUUGGGAAGAACACCGGUGGCGAAGGCGGCCAUCUGGCCCGUGAUUGACGCUGAGGCGCGAAAGCGUGGGAGCAAACAGG
rnacentral:rRNA from 1 species